AGGGGUGUAGCUCAGCUGGUAGAGCAGCGGUCUCCAAAACCGCGUGCCGUGGGUUCAAAUCCUAUCACCCCUGCCA
rnacentral:tRNA from 1 species